AACGAACGCUGGCGGCAUGCCUAACACAUGCAAGUCGAACGAGACCUUCGGGUCUAGUGGCGCACGGGUGCGUAACGCGUGGGAACCUGCCCUUAGGUUCGGAAUAACUCCCCGUAAGGUGUGCUAAUACCGGUUAAUGUCUUCGGACCAAAGAUUUAUCGCCUUUGGAUGGGCCCGCGUUGGAUUAGCUAGUUGGUAGGGUAAAAGCCUACCAAGGCGACGAUCCAUAGCUGGUCUGAGAGGAUGAUCAGCCACACUGGGAAUGAGACACGGCCUAGACUGCUACGCGAGGGAGCAGUGGGGAAUAUUGGACAAUGAGCGAAAGCGUGAUCCAGCAAUGCCGCGUGAGUGAUGAAGGCCUUAGGGUUGUAAAGCUCUUUUACACGGGAUGAUAAUGACAGUAACGGGAGAAUAAGCACCGGCUAACUCCGUG
rnacentral:rRNA from 1 species